ACAGAAGAACCGGUCGGAGGCGGGGCUGCGAGUAGCAGAGAGUGUUUGCUGAACUCUGGCUGAAGCACAGGCAGCAAGGUUCCAGAAAAGCCACUGCAGACUUGAGAGGGUCCCACAUGCUGACGAGGAGGCCAGGAGGCUGCCUGGCGCCGAGGCUGCAGGGUUCAACAAAGACUGAUUGAAGACCCAGUGAGCUGGGAGCUGGAACAGGAGUGCUACUAGGACGGCACGGCGGACAGCACUUUGCUCUCACAGAGCUUGCAUCCAGGGGGAAGACAGACAACAGACAGCAGGCAACAGACGUCAAACUCAAGCAAAAGUCAGCUGGUACCUGGUUGAGCUGUAUGUACAGUAUGGAGGCCCUGGACAAGGGGUGACUCACAUCCCAGGCGGACGGCUGGACCGUGCGACACUCCAUCACUGCAGACA